CGCCGCACCGUGAGGGAUCGGCGGGAGUUGCUGCGGCCUCCCUUGUCCCUCCCCGCCCCCGUCGAAUGCCACAGCCCGCCGGUUAUCGCGACAGCCCUCCGCCGCAUCGCAAUUAACUCCGGCGGAAAAGCCCCGCUGUGCUUCCGGCACUGUUCGGGGCGUGUCUGGCCGCGGCGCCACCCGCGUUCUAUGGUCCGCGGCGCUCCCAGGGUCCCCCGCGCCGCGGCCGGUACCCGGGAGGAGCGCGGCGGCGGGCGCUGGCCUGUCCGGGGCCUGUCUUGCCCCGGGGCUGCGCCUGCCCGCGGCCGCCAUGGAACUGGAGGUGCCUGAGGAAGCGGAGGGCUCGGCCGCGGCGGGUGCCGGUGCCAUCAGUCCGGAGGCCGGCGUGGGGGGACCGGACGCGUCAGGAGGUCUGGGCCCAAAGAAGACAGCCAUCACUGAGGGCCCCUCACUGCCAGGACAGCCAGGCCAAGGAAAGAAGAUUGGUCAUCGAAGUGUGGAUGCUUCUGGGGAAACCACCUACAAAAAGACCACCUCGUCCACUCUGAAGGGGGCCAUCCAGCUGGGGAUUGGGUAUACUGUAGGAAAUCUGAGCUCCAAGCCAGAGAGAGAUGUCCUGAUGCAGGACUUCUAUGUGGUGGAGAGCAUUUUUUUCCCAAGCGAAGGCAGUAACCUCACCCCGGCUCACCACUAUGCCGACUUCAGGUUCAAGACCUAUGCCCCAGUGGCUUUCCGGUACUUCCGAGAGCUCUUUGGGAUUCGUCCAGAUGAUUAUUUGUAUUCAUUAUGUAACGAGCCUCUGAUCGAGCUGUCCAACCCUGGGGCCAGCGGCUCCCUCUUCUAUGUCACCAGCGACGAUGAAUUCAUCAUCAAAACUGUGAUGCACAAGGAAGCUGAAUUCCUGCAGAAGCUCCUUCCUGGAUACUACAUGAAUCUGAACCAGAACCCCCGGACACUGCUGCCCAAGUUUUAUGGACUGUACUGUGUGCAAUCCGGGGGCAAGAACAUCCGUGUGGUCGUGAUGAACAACAUCCUGCCUCGAGUGGUGAAAAUGCACCUGAAAUUUGACCUCAAAGGUUCAACCUACAAACGCCGGGCAUCCAAGAAGGAAAAAGAAAAGUCCAGCCCUACGUACAAGGAUCUGGACUUCAUCCAAGACAUGCCUGAGGGCCUGAUGUUGGAUGCAGACACCUUCAGUGCUUUGGUGAAGACAUUGCAGCGAGACUGUCUGGUAUUGGAAAGCUUUAAAAUCAUGGACUACAGCCUCCUGCUUGGGGUUCAUAACAUAGACCAGCACGAGCGGGAGCAGCUGUCAGAGGGAGCCCACAGCACGUCGGAUGAGAAGCGUCCCGUGGGGCAGAAGGCCCUGUACUCCACAGCCAUGGAGUCCAUCCAGGGAGGGGCUGUCCGGGGGGAGGCCAUCGACACGGACGACACGAUGGGAGGGAUCCCAGCAGUGAAUGGCAAAGGAGAGCGUCUCCUGCUGCACGUAGGAAUCAUAGAUAUCCUGCAGUCAUACAGGUUCAUCAAGAAGUUAGAGCACACCUGGAAGGCCCUUGUCCAUGAUGGGGACACAGUGUCAGUACACAGACCCAGCUUUUAUGCAGAGAGAUUCUUCAAAUUCAUGACCAACACGGUGUUUCGAAAGAAUUCUUCUCUGAAGUCGUCCCCCUCCAAGAAAGGGCGCAGUGCCUUGCUGGCCGUGAAGACGGCGGGUCCCACGGCGGCGUUCUCGGCCAGCCAGCUGGCCUCUGACAAGGACGACACCCAGUACGACCUGCGGGCGGCCAGGAGCUACCCCACGCUCGACGAUGAAGGUGACAGCCCCGCGCAGGGUGCUAAACCUAACCAGGACAGGGAAGAAGCAGGCAGGCCAGACCUGCUCCCUUGCACUCCUCCUUCCUUUGAAGAAGCUACCACGGCCUCCAUAGCCACGACACUAUCGUCAACAUCUCUCUCUGUUCCCGAGCGAUCCCCCUCGGAGUCCUCUGAGCAGCCCAGGUACAGGAGGCGUACACACUCCUCAGGGCAGGAUGGCAGGUCACACGAGGAGGUGCGGGUCCAGGAGGAGGUUCAGCAAAUCAGUGUCGAGCUGGAGCCCAAGUGUGACGUUGAGAUUGUAGCUCCUGAAGAAGAAGUCAAAGAAGAGGCAGCUUCUUCAGCCUGUGCCAUUGUCACAUCCACAGCCACCGUAGAGGUGGAGACGGCCAGCCAGGCCUCGGAGCCAGCCAGCCAGGCCUCGGAUGAAGAUGACGUGCCAGUCACAGACAUCUACUUUGCUGCAUUAGGUGAUGCAGUGGGAGUCUAGUGCUGAGCCAGGGAUUCACAGAUGGGAGGUACUGGAUUUACUCUCCCCGCCAGCGCAGACUCCGAACUACCUCGCAUUCCUCUGGGAUUCCGACAGACGAGAGGAGUUGGGUUUACUCCCCGCUCCACUAUAGCACUCAGCUCCACUCUGUCUCCGAUGAGGAGAGCGAUACAUAAUCUCUAUGCAGACACAGAAGUCCCAGAGAGCAGCGAUUCCCUCUGCAGGUCGAUGUGUUCCCUUUUCGUUGAUGCAGCCAUUCCAGUGGAUGGGGAAGAGCUUGCUGACACCAGUAUUGCUGCACUGCAGGAUCCCGGGCACUGCGUUUCAGAAUGGAGCAAAACUAUAACCAUGUAUUUCUACUCACCCCAGACGUGGGCAGCAAAGAAACCACCCGCUCACCCGCAGCUCCCAGCAGAGAAUUCUAGCUGGGUGUAGAGAAUCCUGGGUAGUAACACAGUGUUUUCCAGAUGUGCACUACCAUAGCUACCUAUCCAUGUGUGAUACUGUGAACCUUUUUAAUUUUUUAAUCAUGUAUUUAUUUCUUUUAUCUUUGCACAGAGACAGCACACAUGUGCUUUUUUAAACAUUUAGUUUACUGCACUUUUUUUUCUUUUUUCUUUUUUUUUUUUUUUGGUCAUAUAUUUGUGCAUCAAAAAGGAGCAUGCGAUUUCACCGAAGAAUGGGUAGGAGCACGUUGCUGGGGAGGGCAGGGAGUGGAGUGGCUUCAUGUGAGGCAGCAGUUUGGUCUCACCAGCUGAGGGAGUCAGGAGGUUUAAGGCUGUCCAGACACUGCCACGGUUUUUCCAAGUGGCCCAAGGCAAAUCACUAAACCACUCUGUGCCUCGGUUUCCCCCGUGCUAAUGGGUGCACAGUACCUGCUUCCGUUACAGCACUUAAACCCUGGGAUGAAAGGUGCUAUGAAAAUGAAAUGUAUUAAAGGCCAUGGAAUAGAAUUGCUCCCAUGUUACCAUAGUCCAAAGCAGCCAUGCCAAUUCACUUGGAUCCAAACUCUCUAGUGACUUCUCCUGUCUGUGACACCGUGCGGGACAGCACAGUUCCUGGUGACAGCGACGUGGACUCCUCAGCUCUCCCCGAAGUCGUGAUGGGUUCCACCUUCACCCUGUGCUGCACUGCUGCGCCACCCCUCCCUCUAUGCUUGGAGUCCACACCUCAUCCAAGUGGCCACCGCCUGCUGGCACGGACAGAUGGGAACUGGGCACCUCCCAAGCCUGGCCACGCUGGAGGGCAAUUUCCCCACUCUGCCCAGCCCAUGUGGGGCUUGUCCAGACCCUGCAUCCUCCUGGAGCCGCUCAGCCCCUCACGUGCUCGUGGGUGUACCCUGGGGUCACGGACACUGGGUUCACACGUCCCCUGUGCCCCUCAGGGCAGGCAGAGACACAAGGGCACGUCCAGUCACUGGAGGCAGGAAUGGGAGCCUGGCUCUGCCACGGAAUUGUGCCAGCACUGCUGUGCUCACGGACUCUUGGACAGAAAGCUGGGUGACUGGGGUGGUGCCUGGGGUCACGUCUGCUGGUGGAAAUCCCUGCUGUGGCUAUCUGAGAGGGUUUGCUUUGCAAGGGCUGUGGGCGAUAGGUGAGAGAAUGUGAUGUCAGGGGUAGUGUUCAGCCUCAUCCAUCAGCAGAACACAUAGCAUAGUCUGGAAUCCAGCAAUCCUGUCCUUAUCUCCCAGACAGAAAACAGAAAGUCCUUUAGACUAGAGGGAGACAGGUCUUGUUUGUGUGCUUUAUGAACCUCGCUUGAGAAAGAGUCUCUUUAUUCCCUUUACAAUCUUUACUGUCCUUGGGAUUCCAGGUAGAGGGGUGGGGAAGCAGGACCCUGCUCUCAGGCCUCAGUCCCCACAAUCUCAGCAGCACUCAGGAGUGGUUAUGUUGGGUCCCAGAAGGUAGCUGGGCUGAUGGGAAGCUCUUCCUUCUGUACUGUACUGAACUUAGUGAGAAUCUUCAGGAAUUGAUUUUUUUUUCUUGCCCAGAAUACAGGACCUGGACUUCCCUUCCCUGCCUGUAGAUGCAGAAGGCUGUGAGUUGUGCUUCUUGGGAGCACAGUCUGGGGAUUGUGCAAGUUGCUGCUGUUCAUGUAUCCAUGUAUUUACCAAAUAGUCUAUCAAAAGUCUCUCAAGAAACUCUCCCCUUUCUGUCGCUGCUUGGCAGCUCAUUCUCCCAGCUGCAGCUCCUGUCCCAUCCCACCUUCCUGUGGGGGGCUCUGCAGGCUGGGGGGCUCAGGGUUGGUGGAGGGGAAUGGGAGCCAUGCAGUACCUACAGCCUCACCUGCCUUUGGGCUCAAGGCAAGGAGCUUCGAAAAGCUAAAAAUUCAACCUCUUUUUCCCCAGCAGUGUGUGUAGAACGGCCAGAGAAAGCCACAUCCCUGCUGCAGCUGCUGCUGUUGGGAGCUGUGCUAGAGGAGGGGGCUCUGGGGGGGAACCAGGGUGGCUGGAGCUGUUCUGAGCCAGGCCCCUGCCCUGGAACCACCUCAGUCAGGGGCUGGAGCGUUUGGCCUCGUCAGGACUUUCCAGCCACCUGAAAUCAAGCAUCCUGUUUGAGAUGGUUCAAGCAUCAGUGGAGAUUUUAUUCCUUCCCCUCAUUUCUAGGGGGUCUCUAAAGCUGCUUGGUGUGUGUGCAGGGAGUGUCCCAGAGAAUGAGCUUUGUGAGGUGGAGCUGUGCUUGGGUCCUGAGGGUGUAAACCCAGAGCUCCUGCAGCAUGUUCAUUCAAUUCAAAGAAUUGUCUUCCCUUUUUGAGGUGAUCCUUGUGCAGUUCUGUAAUGCUGGACCCUUUGGAGCAGGUCUGGAUGGGCUGGGGUGGUCCUGUAAGACGACAGGCAAAGGCUUAGAACAGCUUUGUCAAGGGAUAAGGAGGAACCUUCCUGUAGGCAGAUGUUGAUCUGAAAUAGAAACUGCCCCUGUUCAGGCUGGCACAAUCCCUGCUGUGUCACCUCCUGUCCCAGCAGCUCCCAGUGCUGGGGAACUGCUUCCCAUGGAGGCUGAAAGGACCUUGCAUUUUAGAGCUCAUUCUUGGCCCCCUCUGCAUAGCAGGGCAAGGGAGCAGCAGAAGCUCUGGAGCAUGUCACAGGCACUGCCAGUGCUGCCUGGGCAGGAACAGCACUUGCCCAUGGGAAAGAGCAUCCCUGGCCUGAGUGUUCCUCCACCUGCACUUCAGCUCAUUCUGGACUUGAGGUGCUGUUCUGUGCUGGGCUCCCCUUAGUGACCCCGCAGGUGCUGUCCAGGCUCCCCAUCAUUAAAGGAGGCACCACGAGUCUUGUACUCUGAGAUUUGACCCUGCAGGACAGCUCCUUCCCACACAGGUCUGUGCACUGCUGUCCUUCAUCCCCAUGGUCCCAGCUGGGAGCUCAGACUCUGUGGAACAUGCCGUGACCAUUGCCUGGUGCUGGGGCUGCAGGUGAGCUCUCCCUGCCAGGUAAGAGGCCGGCAGGAGAAAAUGGGCAUCUCUGUCCUUGAGUUUGCAGUCAGGCUCCUGUAAAGGCUCUGGGGCAAACCCGGGGGCUCGUAGGGACCCUCAACACGCACAGAGUGGAUGCAGCUCUUGGUUGCCGCUGCCUCUCCGGCCACGUGUGCUGGAAUUGCACCUUGGGGAGUGUUUCAGUGAAGCCAGAGCACGCACACGCCUCGGUCCAAGGCAGGCAGAGGCGUUUGCAGGGCUCCAUCGCCCCCCGCAUUCCCCUUCUCACUGCCAGCCACUGCUCCAGCGCCCCCCGAGUGGACAAGGAGAACGCCGGGGCUGAGGCGGCGUCUGGGGUCAUGGCUGAGGGGUUUUCUGUCCAUGUCUACGCGCGCCAGGUCUGUCCUGGUGCCUGUCCCUGUCCCCACCCCCGUCUGUCCUGGUGACUGUCCCUGUCCCCACGUGUCCUGGUGGAUGUCCCCGCGGAUGUCGCUGUUCGUGCCGUGCCCGUGCCCAAUGUCCGGCGGAGGGGGCGCGGCCGGACGGGGUCUCCGAUGUUGGGCUGUGAUCCCGUCUCGGCUCCGGGGGCUCGAGGCCUGGGCGCGGUUUUUCUUUUCUCGGUUGUUUUGAGAGUUUUUCCCCUCCUUCUCCGGGGAGCCCCUUUUCCAGAGCUCUGUACCCGCUCCCAUAAAGCGUUCUGCAGUCUGUGCUCA